GUGCUCACUUCAGCAGCACAUAUACUAAAAUUGGAACGAUCCACAGAUUAGCAUGGUCCCUGUGCAGAGAUGAUAAGCAAAUUCGUGAAUUUGUGAAGUGUUCC